GGUAUCCAGUUUGCUUCUGGGUCCAAUUCAAAUGCUGGUUGCAAAUUUUAAAGCUCUUCAAGGCAUGGAACCAGGCUUCUGAGGGAAUGCUUCUCCCUGAUUAUUUCAGUUCGACUCAUUAGGUCUGACAGAGAAGGGAUGCUGCAGAUACCAUCAGCGAGGGAUCUACAUUUGGUGGGUCCCAGGAGACAGGCCUUCUCUGCUGUAGCACAUAAACUUCUUCAGUCUAAGAAAGCCAGCAAGUCUGCAGACUUGUAUCUAGUAGAAGGGAAGAAGGGAGGAAAGAAGUAAGGAAGGGUAAAAGAGGAAGUAAAGAAGAUGAAGAUUGAGAUCCAUGCUGAUGUGCCAAUAAAUGGAGAGCUGCCAGUUA